GAGCCUGUAGCGCAGCUAGGAUUAGCGCGGAAGCCUCCUAAGCUUCAGGUCCGGGGUUCGAAUCCCCGCAGGCUCG
rnacentral:tRNA from 1 species